rnacentral:rRNA from 1 species
GGAUUAGGCAUGCAAGUCGAACGAGGGAGUGCCUCGAAAGGGGCGCAAACCGAGUGGCGUAAGGGUGAGUAAUGCAUUGAUAACCUGCCUUUGAGAUGGGAAUAACAACGUUCCAAGCAAUUGGGGCUACCGAAAGGGUUGCUAAUACCCAAUAAAACUAUUGCUGCUAUUGGUAGUAAUAGUCAAAUAAAUGGGGUCGAAAGAUUUCAUUUGCUCGAAGAGGGGUCAAUGUCCUAUCAGCUAGUUGGUAGAGUAAUAGCCUACCAAGGCAAAGACGGGUAGCCGGCCUGAGAGGGUGGUCGGCCACACUGGGACUGAGACACUGCCCAGACUCCUACGGGAGGCUGCAGUCGAGAAUCUUUCGCAAUGCCCGAAAGGGUGACGAAGCGACGCCGCGUGCGGGAAGAAGGCCUUCGGGUUGUAAACCGCUGUCGGGAGUUAAGAAAUGCAAGGAUGUUAAUAGCAUCUUUGUUUGACUAAGGCUCCGGAGGAAGCCACGGCUAACUCUGUGCCAGCAGCCGCGGUAAUACAGAGGCGGCAAGCGUUGUUCGGAAUUAUUGGGCGUAAAGAGCACGUAGGCGGCUGUGUAAGUCGGUUGUGAAAGCCUUCCGCUUAACGGAAGAACGGCAUCCGAUACUGCAUAGCUCGAGUGCGGGAGGGGAGAGUGGAACUUCUGGUGGAGCGGUGAAAUGCGUAGAUAUCAGAAGGAACACCGGCGGCGAAGGCGACUCUCUGGCCCGUAACUGACGCUGAGUGUGCGAAAGCUAGGGGAGCAAACGGGAUUAGAUACCCCGGUAGUCCUAGCCGUAAACGAUGGGCACUAGGUAGAGGGGUUUUGAUUAUCUCUCUGCCGGAGCUAACGCAUUAAGUGCCCCGCCUGGGGAGUACGGCCGCAAGGCUAAAACUCAAAAGAAUUGACGGGGGCUCGCACAAGCGGUGGAGCAUGUGGCUUAAUUCGAUGCAACGCGAAGAACCUUACCGGGGUUUGACAUGAUGGAAGUAGGAGCCCGAAAGGGCAACGAACGGUAUCCAGUCCGUAACUAUCACAGGUGUUGCAUGGCUGUCGUCAGCUCGUGUCGUGAGACGUUGGGUUAAGUCCCCUAACGAGCGAAACCCUUGUCUUUAGUUGCCAACAGGUCAUGCUGGGUACUCUAAAGAGACUGCCGUCGUCAAGACGGAGGAAGGUGGGGAUGACGUCAAGUCAUCAUGGCCCUUAUAUCCCGGGCUGCACACGUGCUACAAUGGUCGGUACAAAGGGAUGCUAAACCGCAAGGCGGAGCGAAACCCAGAAAGCCGAUCUCAGUUCAGAUUGGAGGCUGAAACCCGCCUCCAUGAAGUAGGAAUCGCUAGUAAUCGCGGAUCAGCUACGCCGCGGUGAAUAUGUUCCCGAGCCUUGUACACACCGCCCGUCAAGCCACCCAAGCAAGAUGCACCCAAAAUCAUUGGCCUAACCAGCAAUGGAGGGAAGUGCUUAAGGUGUGUUUUGUGAGGAGGACUAAGUCGUAACAAGGUAGUCGUAGGAGAACCUGCGGCUGGAUCACCUCCUUUCUAAGGAGUUUUUCAUGCUGCUUCGCACGCAAUGGCUUCUAGAUUUUGGAUUGUGGGCCCAAAGGGAUGAGAGAGGUUAUGUUGGGCCUAUAGCUCAGUUGGUUUAGAGCAUUCCCCUGAUAAGGGAAAGGUCAGUGGUUCGAGUCCACUUAGGCCCACUAUCUAAAUAUUGGAAUAUACAGGGGGAUGUAGCUCAACUGGGAGAGCGCUGCCCUUGCAAGGCAGAGGUUGGCGGUUCGACCCCGCUCAUCUCCACCACUUUAGGUCAACUUAAUGGUUUAGGGUGUGAUUUAAAUUUAUUGUUCUUUGAAAAAUGAAUACUUAACGGGUAGCAAUUUGAUCCUCAAUUGCGGAUUAAAUAAGAUGGCAUAAAUUGUCAAGCUAUGAAGGGUACAUGGUGGAUGUCCAGGCGCUGAGAGGCGAAGAAGGACGUGGAAGACUGCGAUAAGCUUCGGGGAGCUGUCAAACGAGCCUUGAUCCGGAGAUUUCCGAAUGGGGAAACCUGUCAUGGGUUUAAGCCAUGACAUCGGUAUUUGAAUAUAUAGAAUAUCGAAGGCAACGGAGAGAAGUGAAACAUCUCAGUAACUCGAG